rnacentral:rRNA from 1 species
UACGGAGGGGGCGAGCGUUAUUCGGAAUUAUUGGGCGUAAAGGGCGCGUAGGCGGCUUUGUAAGUCAAAGGUGAAAUCCCUCGGCUCAACUGAGGAACUGCCUUUGAAACUGCAAGGCUUGAGGCCGGGAGGGGGUAGCGGAAUUCCCAAUGUAGCGGUGAAAUGCGUAGAUAUCAGGAGGAAUACCGAUGGCGAAGGCAGCCCCCUGGGUCGAUACUGACGCUCAUGCACGAAAGCGUGGGGAGCAAACAGG